rnacentral:rRNA from 1 species
GAUGAACGCUGGCGGCGUGCCUAAUACAUGCAAGUCGAACGACCACACGAGAAGCUUUCUCUUUUGACGUUGGCGGCUGACGGGUGAGUAACACGUAGAUCACCAACCUCUAUUACUUGGAUGACUUCGGGAAGCCACUGAUACUACCAGCUCAUAUUUCGUACCGCAUGAUUCAAUAGUGAUUGAUGCCUUUGCUAUCACUUAUAGAUGGUCCUGCGUCGUAUUAGCUAGUUGGUAAGGUAACGGCUUACCAAGGCAACGAUACGUAGCUGACCUGAGAGGAUGAUCGGCCACACUGGAACUGAGACACGGUCCAGACUCCUACGGGAGGCAGCAGUGGGGAAUCUUCGGCAAUGGGCGAAAGCCUGACGGAGCAAUGCCGCGUGAGUGAUGAAGGUCUUCGGGUUGUAAAGCUCUGUUAUUGGGAAAGAAAAAAAGCAGAAUAAUAUGUGCAUGUCUUGACGGUACCUAAGCAGAAAGCCACGGCUAACUACGUG